UACAGAGGUCCCAAGCGUUGUUCGGAUUCAUUGGGCGUAAAGGGUGUGUAGGUGGCGCCGUAAGUCGGGUGUGAAAUCUCGGGGCUUAACUCCGAAACUGCAUUGGAUACUGCCUUGCUAGAGUACUGGAGAGGAAACUGGAAUUUACGGUGUAGCAGUGAAAUGCGUAGAUAUCGUAAGGAAGACCAGUGGCGAAGGCGAGUUUCUGGACAGUUACUGACGCUGAGGCACGAAGGCCAGGGGGAGCAAACGGG
rnacentral:rRNA from 1 species